UUGGUGUUUGGGACAGCGCGAGUUUGGUCUGCCAAGUAUAAAUAUAUAUAUAUAUAUAUAUAUUAUACUUGGCAGACCAAACUCGCGCUAUAAAAUACCAUACU
rnacentral:pre_miRNA from 1 species